GAGUUUGAUCGUGGCUCAGGACGAACGCUGGCGGCGCGCUUAACACAUGCAAGUCGAGCGAGAACCAGGGCUUCGGCUCUGGGGACAGCGGCGAACGGGGUGAGUAACACGUGGGUAAUCCACCCUCGGCACCGGAAUAGCCCGGGGAAACCCGGAUUAAUGCCGGAUGGCCCGUCGACCCUUCGGGGCUGACGGAAAAGGUAGCUUUGGCCUCCGGCCGGGGACGAGCCCGCGGCGGAUUAGCUUGUUGGUGGGGUAACGGCCCACCAAGGCUCCGAUCCGUAGCUGGUCUGAGAGGACGAUCAGCCACACUGGGACUGAGACACGGCCCAGACUCCUACGGGAGGCAGCAGUGGGGAAUCUUGCGCAAUGGGCGAAAGCCUGACGCAGCGACGCCGCGUGGGGGAAGAAGGGCCUUCGGGUUGUAAACCGUCUUUCCUAGGAGGGACGGAAGGACUACUCGGGUUAAGUAG
rnacentral:rRNA from 1 species